CCCUGACUGACGUCGGUGCUUAGUAAUUUCUACACUUGAAACCACUUGUGCCGUUGAGCCUCGUUGCUCUCCUACACCAGUGCUCUCACGCUGCUGCUUCUUCUGCUUGAAAGGACUCAUCCUCAGGAUGUCAUUGUAGUAAGUGGUUCUCUGACCUUGCUGAUACCGUGUAUUGAAGAUGGCUCACCAGUGACCUUUAUCUGGAGGCUUGGAGAUAGAAGUUUCUGAUCUGGAUCUUGGUAUGGAGAUCUUGAGGCAUAGUGUCUAUGGAUUCCAGAAUAUUAUAUCUCCGAGUUCAAGGUCAUCUGGGAUUAAAGGUGUGGUGGAGCAGACCUUUAAUCUGGGCUACACCUUCUGCUGGAGACCAUAUAAGGACAUUGGAAGAAGGGAGUCUUGCUCUUGCUCCUUCACCUACUUGCUGUGUGAGACUGAGUAACUGCUAGAUCCUUAGACUUCCAUUCACAGCUACUACUGAACCAUUUUUGGGAAUCGGGCUGCAGACUGUAAGUCAUCAAUAAAUUCCUUUACUGUAUAGAGACUAUCCAUAAGUUCUAUGACUCUAGAGAACCCUGACUAAUACACCCUUCUUUGGCAGAUUGCAAAGUGUUUCUGGUACUGGAGAAGCUACACUUUAGGAAGGAGCCUUUUAGAUUAGAAUCAUAACCAAUAAAGACCUUCAACCUCUGAGAGGCAGCCAAGCAGUAGUGUAUAUUAUUUCAAAAGUCAAUUGGAUUACUGUGACCAACUAUUUGAACAGAAGUCUUUUGUGUCUUGUAUUAGAAGGAGAAAAUGAACAAUGAAAAACAACACCAAGGUUAUCUGAUAAGCCUCAAGAAACCUUAUUUAUUUACUUAAAAUUCAUCCUUAAAGGAAGAUAUUCCAUUUGGGCCGACAACUCACCCCACGAGAACCAUGGAUUUACCUUCAUUUUAUUUAUGUGUAUGUGCAUUGAAAGUAUGACAUUUGUGUGCAAGGAAUUGCAAAACCCUAAGAAGUCAUCAGAUUCCCUAGAGUUGGAGUGACAGCUCGUUGGAAGUUGCCCAAUUUGGAUUCUGAGAGCUACACUCAGGUCCUUUGCAAGAGCAAGGUUUUAUUUGGCUAUGUUCUAACACUAAGAAUAAAAUCAACUAUCUUACAACUGAUUGGCCAGUGUCCAGGGACUCAAGAAAGGAAAAUGAAAGAAGGAGGAGGGGGAGAAGGAGAAGGGGGAGGGCGAAGAGGAGGAGGAGGAGGAGGAGAAAAGAAGAAGAAGAA
rnacentral:lncRNA from 1 species